GCCUCUGUCUGAAGUGUAAGGCGGACUCUGAACUAGGAGGGACACAGGGCAGAGGGAAGCAGCCUUCCCGUAUCACCUGCAGACAGCUCUUCUUCCAGAGCCUAGGACAGAGGGCAGACGGAGCUCGUUUGGAUCCCUUAGGACACAAGCCUUCCCCAACCACAGGACCCCCACCAAAGUGGCCUUCUCUGGAAAUUCCCCUCCCAGGCCUCAGUGCUGGGUAACUUGGUCUUCCCUCGCUCCUGCCCCAGCGCCUGUCACCCAGAAGGAUGCACAUUAUCGCCUCCGGGUCAGUGUUCCAGCAGCAACCCAGGUGACUAAGGAUAGGAUGAUUCUACAAAGAAUUCUGGAAAGAGGUAGCCCACACCAGCAAAAUCCAAUGGCUCUCCAAAUACAUACUUGCGGCACCUCCCCUAAGCCCAGGCACCCGCAAGAAGCAAUCUGGGCAGUUGCUAGAGGCAAGAUGAUGAUUCAUUUUCAGACUCUCAGGAUGUGCCAAGGGUAUAGAAGCCCUAGGUAAGAGAACCAGGUGAACAUCUAUUUCCUGAUGCCUGAUCAGCCUGUGUCAGCAGGAGUAUAAUUGAUUUGAGUGUCAAGUAUCAAAAGUCCUAGCAGACCACGCGUGGUUACAGAUAAGUGUGGGCCUAUUAACAGGAAGGUCUGGGACCCUGGCCAGCUUCCAGCUAGAAAGCUCCAUUAGCACAGGGAGGGAAGCCUCUAUUCAAGGACUCCCAAGGCCGUUAUAUGGCUGCGGUGGGCAACUGCCUCCUGGGCAGAUCACAGUUACAGCAAGCAGAGCUCAAGUACGACCGCAGAACAAACCUCAGGGCUCAGGACACAUGAUCGAGGGUAAUUAGGGCAGCUCUCUCCUCAGAGAGUUAAGAGAGUGGAAGGACAUGAGUACGUCCUUGGCCUAUACUGUGGGCUGGUGGCUUUCUGCAUAACACUAUACAAUAUUCAUUAUCUUCACUUUAUAAAUGACCACACUGAGGCCCUGUGAUGGUCAAUUUAUUUGUCAACCUGGCAAAGCCACGGUAACCAGUUGUUUGGUCAAACACUAGUCUAGAUGUCACCAUGAAGGAAUUUUUUUAUAUGUGAUUAACAUUUAACUCAGUAGACUGAAUAAAGCAGCUUACCCUCCAAAAUGUGGUUGGGCCUCACUCAAUCAGUUGCAGGCCUUAAGAGAAAAGACUGAGGGUCCCGCUAAAGAAAGAGGGAUUGGGUCUCCACACUGCCCUGGGGCUCAGCGCUGCAACAUCAACUCUUCCCUGGCUCUCCAGCCUGCAGUCUGCCCUGCAGAUUUCAGGCUUAACAGUCCCAACAAUUGGGUGAGCCAGUUCCUUCAAAUAAAUCCAUAAAUCUG